CCCUUUCUUCUUCCCACAUGUCACCUUCUCCUUAUUUCUUUCUUUCUUUUUUUUCACAACUCCUUCAGUAUUCCAAGAAUUCAAAAUUCAAAAGCCAACACUCUUUCUCUCUCUUAAUGCCGCUCUUUCAUUUGUAAACCCUAAUUUUGGGGUAGCAAAUCGGGUGUAGCAACAUCAGUCCCCUUUGUCUCUCUCACCUUCUCUCUCUCGGGUGACUCAAGAACAUCAUCCACCUUUGUCUCUCACAUCUCACACUUGAUUCCAAAUGUUGAGCAAGUAAAGGGUGUAGCAACGUCAGUCCCCAUCAGUACCAUCUACCGUUGGAUUUCAUAUAGAUUUGUAGGCAGAUAUGUUCAACAGUGAUGAUUUGGGUUCUGAUUUGUGACUGCAUGGUUUGAUAAGUGGAGAUUCCGGUGGUGGAAGCUUUGAAGAUCGACAGUGAUAAAGGCGGUUAGGGUUCCGGCCACGAAACCGGCUUUCUGGGGUUUAAUCGUUGAUGUUCAUCAUUCAGUAACAACAUUGGUUCAUGCAUAUUUUAUAAAAUUUCAUUAAACUUGAAAACCCUAAUUUUGUUCGAUUUUACUCUGCCCAGAUUUGCUCUUUGCUUUGGAGAUACUGUUCAACAGAUCAUUCACUAUAGAAGCAUGUCCGAAUCUGAUAGGUUUAUUUACAAGCCCAUUCAAGAAUUUUACAAGCCCAUUUCUGAUAGGUUUAUUUACAAUGCUAUUUUGACACUUCUCUUUUACCUUUAUUUGAGUUUUUCGGAUUUGAUUGUUCGGUGUGCAGAUGGCGAUUUCAUCAAUGUGCGAGCGAAGGAGAUGCUUCAACUCUAUUUCAUAACGAUAGAGAGUUCGGCGAUCAGAGAUAAUGUUAUGAUGGGAACAUCAUCUGAGGUAUAGUUAUAAAAUAUACACAUGAACUGAAAGUGGGUGUCUGGAUUUGUGUUAUGGAAGUGAUUAUCUAUAUUUCAGCAAGCAUAUUCUGACAAUUAGAUAUAAGCAUAUGGGUUGUGGGUAGUGUACAUAAUUAGUAAAUAGUAAUUUAUGGUAAAACUUAACAGUGAGCCAUUUUGAACCGUUAUCGUUUCUCCCGAUUUGCUGCCCCAAACACAGAAUUAUCUGUCUAAACAGGCUAGCGAGUCAACCCGUUUAAAUUAUCUGUCUAAACGGGUAGCUUUCGAUUUGAGAAGUUUGGAAAUAGGUGGGUUCGUGGCUACAGAUGCCACUUCCUUCUGGUCUGAUUUCAGUUUCAGAGUUGCUAAGGUUUAUUGCUGAGAUUAAGGCCUGCAAAAUGAAGGAAAAAGCUUGGGAAUAAGUGUCUUUAUUAAAGUUUUGGAGGCUAUGGCUCAAUCGGAAUGACAAGGUAUAUAGAGGGGUUAUGCCUCCCCUCAAAAGAUGAUAGGUGAGAUUAAGGAAACUUCGUGCUCAUGGAUUCAAAAUAGAACCAAAUGGAGGCACAUGGAAUGGAAUGCAUGUAGCAAAAAUUUUGGUAAUCACCUGUUUGUGUAAUGCUUUAGAUCUAUUUUUGUUUUUUUUUUUGUUUUUGGUGUAUUCUUUGUAUGUUGCUGCCCUUAGCUUCUUGCUAUGGGUCAGUUUGUUGUGUUAAUAAAAGCCCAGUUAUGUCAGUAAAAGAAAAACAAAUAGUCCCUAUAGCGGGUUACGGCGAAUAUGGUUGUAAAGUAGAAGUGCUUCUUUGGUUGUGUCA